UACGGAGGGUGCAAGCGUUAUCCGGAUUCACUGGGUUUAAAGGGUGCGUAGGCGGACAGGUAAGUCAGUGGUGAAAUCUCCGAGCUUAACUCGGAAACUGCCUUUGAUACUCUCUGUCUUGAAUAUGGCGGAGGUAAGCGGAAUAUGUCAUGUAGCGGUGAAAUGCUUAGAGAUGACAUAGAACACCUAUGGCGAAGGCAGCUUACUACGCCUAUAUUGACGCUGAGGCACGAAAGCGUGGGAUCAAACAGG
rnacentral:rRNA from 1 species